UACGUAGGGUGCAAGCGUUGUCCGGAUUUAUUGGGCGUAAAGAGCUCGUAGGCGGUUUAGAAAGUCGGGUGUGAAACCUCCAGGCUCAACCUGGAGACGCCACUCGAUACUUCUAUGACUUGAGUUCGGGAGAGGGAUGCGGAAUUCCAGGUGUAGCGGUGAAAUGCGUAGAUAUCUGGAGGAACACCGGUGGCGAAGGCGGCAUCCUGGAC
rnacentral:rRNA from 1 species